rnacentral:rRNA from 1 species
GCCGUAAACAUUGAUAGAUUAAUACAACCCCUAUCCGCCCGGGAACUACGAGCACCAGCUUAAAACCCAAAGGACUUGGCGGUGCUUUAGAUCCUACUAGAGGAGCCUGUUCUAGAACCGAUAACCCCCGUUCAACCUCACCUUUCCUUGUUUUUCCCGCCUAUAUACCGCCGUCGUCAGCCCACCCUAUGAAGGACUAAAAGUAGGCUAAAUUGGCACAGCCCAGAACGUCAGGCCGAGGUGUAGCGUAUGGAAGGGGAAGAAAUGGGCUACAUUCCCUAUAUUAGGGCACACGAAUGGUGUGCUGAAACACACAUCUUGAAGGAGGAUUUAGCAGUAAGCAGGAAGUAGAGCGUCCUGCUGAAACUGGCUC